AUGACCCGGUGCUGGAAUGCCACCUGCCAUUUCUCACUCUCAUUAUUGGGACAGCUGGGCGUCUCUCCAUGCCGACAGGGAGGACCUGGUAGGGGGACGCCGGGCCCAGGGGGGCCAGGGCCCAGGAAGCAAGGGCCCCAGGGCUCAGACAGAGAGAUGGGUGCGCACCUGUGCCAGAUGGAGGGAGAGGGAACUGGUGGGGGUGCAGGGACGCACAGCUUGGGGCUGGGGCUGAGGGGGUGCCCCUCUGGGAGCUCCCUCCAGGAGGCCCCAAGGUCGUUUGCUGCGGGUGGCCCGCCAAGGUGGUGCCCCGAUGCGCAGCUGCAGGGGGAGGCGCCGUGUCCUCUUUGCCGCACCGGGAAAGGGGGACAGUCGAAUUCUUCUAGGGUCAGAGGACGGCUGAGCUGCCCCAACCCCGUGAGGCAGGUAGGGACGAUGGCCAUGGAGACCUCCCAUCCUGGUCCUGAGGAGCGUGGCCGCAAACCCUGGCAUGCAACGCCUCGGCCUCCCAGCACCCCAGGGCAAUGCCCCCCAUGGCAGGCCACCUGCAUUCCCUGGGUCCCCACGACUGUCAGACCAAGUGACACAUUCCUAUCCUGCCCCACUUUGCAGGUGCAAGGACGAGGUCCAGAGGAGUUAGAGCAGGCCCAGGACCCCCAGCCGGUAAGCGGAGGAUGGGGACCUGCGUGGGUGGGUCCGGCCUCAAAGGCCAGGCCUCGAAACCACGGGGACGUUUGUGGAAUCCGGGGGGAUCGGGAGGCGCAGGGGGAUCUCCUGCCCGCAGGGUGCUGGCAGGGAGGCUCCGCAAGCCCACGGUGGCCUUGGCCUCCACCGUGCGCCCCGAGAACCAGCCCGGCUUCCUCACACCUGCGGCUCAGGCCACCCGGCCCGGCCUCUGGGCCCGUCACUCUGGGCCCCGCGCCCCUGCCCUGCCCUCAGCCCCCGCCAGGCUGCCCAGAGGAGCAGAAGGACGUCGCCCAGGCGCGGGGGACCCGCCGGCCACCAUCCCUGUGGCCUGCGUCCUCCUGGCUCCUGUUUACCUAG
rnacentral:lncRNA from 1 species